CCUUCGAUAGCUCAGUUGGUAGAGUGGAGGACUGUAGAUCCUUAGGCAGUCGGUUCAAAUCCGAUUCGAAGGA